UAGGAUUUGAUUUAGGAUUAGGUUUAGAUUAGAGUUUAUGAUUUGGUUAAGAUUUAGGGUUGGAUUAGGAUUUAAGAUUUGCUUAGAGUUUAGAAUUUAAGAUUUAAUCUAGGAUUUGAUUAAAGUCCAUUAGGAUUUCAACUAAGAUUAAAUUAGAACUUAGUUCAGAUUUAUUUAAGAUAUAUUUGUGAUUAUUCUAAUAUUUUUUUAAGAUUUCUUAG
rnacentral:lncRNA from 1 species